rnacentral:lncRNA from 1 species
CCGAUCAUCGUCUUGACGUCUGGGAGAUUUUUUUUUAGCAGACGAAGUCUGGGAGAUGAACCGAUCGCUUUUCAUAUAUCGACCGAAGAAUCAAAGAUCGAUACGAUACAUAUAUGGGCUUUGUUUUGUUUUUCUCCUUGCUGGGUGGGCUGGCUACAAUGUGUGAUUUUUUGUGUUUUUCUCUGGUUGUCUGGCCUUCUAUUUCAGUAUUCACGGUAAAUGGAAUAGUAAUUGCAUAAUUAGUACUAAUUGGGGGCCCUGUGCCAUCGCCCCUGCCAAUGUACAGGCCUGCUGGUCAACACAUGGCAAAGUCGUUUACACACGGCA